UCUCGAGUCGCUGCUCUGUGCCCUCUCUAAUUGCCUCUCAUCGUCCUUGGCGCUCGGCAGAAGGAGGACCAGGACGUCGAGCCGAGACGGGUUGCCACUCCCACUCCCUCCGCGGCCGAGUCAGAGCCCGAGCCGCCUAGAUCGACGCCCAAGGCAGCGGCGGGCAAGAAGCAGCAGAAGACCACCAAGGCGCCGAGGGAGAAGAAGGCAAAGGUGGAGGAGAAGCAGGUGGCGGAGGACGAGGUGUGCGUGAAGGAGCUCGGCGCUCGGAGGAGCUGGCGCUCGGGGAGGAGGACGAGAUGGCUACCUCCAGGGAGCAGCAAAAGGAGUUGGGGCACGCAGCGGCGGCGGCGGCGGCCAAGAGGCGCAUAGCGCAGGCGACCAAGAAGGCCAGGAACGUGGCCGCCGGCGACAAGGAGCCCGAGUUCCUCGGCAAGCCCCCGUCCCCGCCGAUGAGGCCCGCACCAAGUGGCCGCAGCGUUACCAGCGUGGCUCGCCCAAGAGGUUGUCGUUGUCGCCAUCGCGGAGAAGAUCCGGCUGGCACGCUGCGUCUCACAUAGGUGAUUGUGAAGGCAGAGUCAUAUAACCAACAACAUUCAAGCCUGCAUCUACUACUUCGCCAAGCAACACUAGCCCACAGCAACAAGCUGAAAUUGCGGUUCUAUAAGGCAAGGGAUUUUGCGUCUCUUCACAAAUAAGGAAUAAAGAUAAUUGUCUCUCUUUUAUGGUUAGUUUCAUAUUGUUUUCUGAAAGAAAGUGAUGCCAAUGAUCAAAGAAUAUAUAAAGUCGACGAACUAGGCAUUUGAAGAAAUUCAGAUGAAACAAGAUCCAGUUAUCAGGGCCAAUUGAUGUUAGGCACCAUUCUUGCUCCUAUUUGGGUUGGCUACAGCUUUGUCAGGCUGCCAUCGUAUUAUGAUCUUCCAGUGUUCCUUCUGCGGUGUGCAGGAGGUUUGCUACUAAAUACACAAAAAAUAGUGUUCUUUUGCAUCACCAUCCUAUGGAGCCAUGUUCUAAGAAAUAGUAUAUGGUAAACGAUCGGGUGAAUUUUGCACUUACAUUUCUGGGUGUGUUGUUUCAGGAUUUUGGAGGUUCCUGAUUAUAUUUUCUGCAUGCCUUUUGUGGUUUCAAAUAAUGAUUUCUCAAGUUGUUUUGUUUGCAGGUCUGGCAAUAUUCAUUUGCGCCUAGCUCCUAACAUGCAUGGAUCCAUCAUUUUAUUAUUUUGUCAUCUCAUGUAGUUUCACAUGAUGUUAUAGUUCAUUGUUCGGAUUGUUAAUUAGGUGGUAGCGUUGUCAAAAUAAUAAUAAUUAGAAGCUCUGAACCGUGAGAGUUCGAUGGUAUUUCCAAACUGGAAUGACAAUGCUAAGAUUAAAUUCAAGUGGAAAUCAUGUUGGUAUUUGGUGCAUGGCAAGGUGCAAAUUUCGUAACUUUAGCAAGAUGGUCUGCUUGGUUUGUGCUGAUUUGCUCACCCUGACAGUUGGUUUAAUUCUUGUUGACAUGCUCAGUUGCUCCACAUCUAUUAGAUAUUAAAUAGUCCGGUUCUUCUUUCUGUAAAGUUUGGCAAAUUAAAAACCUUUAUGGAGGUUUGCUUUAUUAGUUGUAUCAGAUGUUCUCCUGCUUAGUCUAAAUCAGAUAGGGACUUUAAGCAUAUUCAGUUUAAUUAAUGACAAGCAUUUGUACUAUUAUUGACUUUCUUUAUCUCCUUCUGCUAUGACUAAUAAUGUUUUGCUUAAUUAAACAUUAUAUAGUUCUUCUUGCUUCAUGCCAUUUUUCCAAUAUUAAUCUUCUUGCUUCGUGCAUUUUUCUAUUUCGCUAGAUGUUGGAUGCUAUUGAUGUCCUUGAGGCCCUGGUCAUCUGCAUC